CUUCACCAGGUUCUAGUCUGGAUAAUUAGACUGGCUAUCUCAUUUUGCAGGAGAAUCAGAAAUAAUGGAACCCAGGAAGAGCAAGAUUUUUUGGAUUAGGCAUUGCAAGAUAACGAUCUAGUGUGCUGGUGAAGGAAACAAUACAUAUACAGGAUCUCCCUCUGGGUCUGACAGGCCUUCCGGGGGCAAUGAAAAAAUUGAUUUAAGCACUCCAUGCAGGUAUUUAUUCUUAGGAAGAAAACUUACCAGGUAUGAUUGUAU
rnacentral:lncRNA from 1 species